rnacentral:sRNA from 1 species
CGCAUGCGACGACGGGCUCUUUUGGAAUGGCAUGUGGACCUCGGGCAGAAUGUGUAACCAAGCGCAAAUGAAUCAUCGAAGUCGGGCCAAAAACACCGAAAGCCCAGACCCAAAGUCGCAGGGCUGCGAUCGGUAGUCCGAUGUUUUUAAUAAGGCAAGCGACAAACAAGCAGGAAUUGGGUCAGCCGAGAUAAAUGCGCUGCACCCAAAUGGAGCUGAUUUCGGGAGUUCUUCUUGUUCGAAAUUUAAUACACUGAUGGAUAUGGACAUGGACUGGGAUGGGAGCUUGGAACAAUGGCUGGGCUUUCAUGCGAACUGUCAACUUGUCACGACAAUUAAGCAAGUCGAUGGCUAUCUGGCUAUCCGGCUAUCUAUCGGCGGAAGAUCAGGAAACGCCCACGCAUGCCGUCGUCUUAAGCGUUAAACAAAUUAAAUAUCCGAUAUUGUGGUGGGGGUAAAUUAUUGAAAUACGACACCGCUCGGAGUGGAUGCAUCAGGUAGAGGUGAUGACCCAAUUCGCUAUGCACUUGCGCGACAAUUUUGGUAAACACAGAACCUUUAAGAACCCCAUA